AGUGAACGCUGGCGGUAGGCCUAACACAUGCAAGUCGAACGGCAGCACAGUAAGAGCUUGCUCUUACGGGUGGCGAGUGGCGGGCGGGUGAGGAAUACAUCGGAAUCUACUUUUUCGUGGGGGAUAACGUAGGGAAACUUACGCUAAUACCGCAUACGACCUACGGGUGAAAGCAGGGGAUCUUCGGACCUUGCGCGAUUGAAUGAGCCGAUGUCGGAUUAGCUAGUUGGCGGGGUAAAGGCCCACCAGGGCGACGAUCCGUAGCUGGUCUGAGAGGAUGAUCAGCCACACUGGAACUGAGACACGGUCCAGACUCCUACGGGAGGCAGCAGUGGGGAAUAUUGGACAAUGGGCGCAAGCCUGAUCCAGCCAUACCGCGUGGGUGAAGAAGGCCUUCGGGUUGUAAAGCCCUUUUGUUGGGAAAGAAAAGCAGCAGGUUAAUACCCCGCUGUUCUGACGGUACCCAAAGAAUAAGCACCGGCUAACUUCGUG
rnacentral:rRNA from 1 species